CUCUUUGAGCAAUAUAUAGGGGGGCACAUAAGGCACCACAGUCAAAAGUAUGUGGAUACUGGGCCCUUGCGCUUCCAUGCUCUCCUGAAGUCUUGUUGGUCGGACUUGGAGUGUGCCUGGAUGCAAGGAGAGUGAGAGAUCUGCGGUAUAAUUGCUGUGUAGGCGGUCCCACUAUUGGGGGUACCCCCUCUUAAAAAGCACCUUAGGC